rnacentral:lncRNA from 1 species
UAAAAUGCAUUCUACUUUUUACAGAGAACAAUGUUUGUGCUUGUUGAAGAGAGGACAAAGCAAGAUACAUCUACUGGCAUGCCAAGAACGUCUUAUUUUCUUCUUAAGGGAGCAAGAGGAUUAAGGGAUACUGCAGCAGAAACCUUUCCUGAGAUCUACCUUCCUUGGCCUCAUCUGAAAUAUUUUUCCUGUUAUGCCAUUUUGCUUUGAAAAAUAAAAAGCACUGUAGCUUGAAUCA